CCUACGGGAGGCAGCAGUGAGGAAUAUUGGUCAAUGGGCGAAAGCCUGAACCAGCCACGCCGCGUGCAGGAUGAAGGAUCUAUGUGUUGUAAACUUCUUUUGUAUGGGAGUAAACUAGGGUACGUGUUUCUUUUUGUACGUACCAUACGAAUAAGGAUCGGCUAACUCCGUGCCAGCAGCCGCGGUAAUACGGAGGAUGCAAGCGUUAUCCGGAUUUAUUGGGUUUAAAGGGUGCGUAGGCGGAUUAUUAAGUUAGCGGUGAAAUGUUGGGGCUAAACCAUAGAACUGCCGUUGAGACUGGUUGGCUAGAGUAUAGGUGAGGUAGGUGGAAUGCGUGGUGUAGCGGUGAAAUGCAUAGAUAUCACGAAGAACACCGAUUGCGAAGGCAGCUUACUAAACUAUAACGGACAUUGAAGCACGAAAGCGUGGGGAGCAAACAGGAUUAGAUACCCUGGUAGUC
rnacentral:rRNA from 1 species